GACGAACGCUGGCGGCGUGCCUAAUACAUGCAAGUAGGACGCAGUUGCGAACGGGUGAGUAACGCGUAGGUAACUACCUAUUAGAGGGGGAUAACUAUUGGAAACGAUAGCUAAUACCGCAUACUAGUAGAUGGACCUGCGUUGUAUUAGCUAGUAGGUAGGGUAAGGGCCUACCUAGGCAACGAUACAUAGCCGAACGGCGAGGGUGUGCGGCCCAAAUGGAGCUGAGACACGGCCCAGACUCCCACGGGAGGCAGCAGUAGGGAAUCUUCGGAAAGGGGGGGAACCCUGACCGUGCAACGCCGAGGGAGUGAAGAAGGUGUUCGGAUCGUAAAGCUCUGUUGUUAAGGAAGCGGUACUUAACCAGAAAGGGACGGCUAACUACGUGCCAGCAGCAGCGGUAAUAC
rnacentral:rRNA from 1 species